rnacentral:sRNA from 1 species
UCUGCCCAAGCGGGGAAGGAUGAGAAGCUUCGACUAAGGUUCGACUCGAGCGCCAGCGAGAGAGCGUUGCCGCAGGCAACGACCCGAAGGGCGAAGCGCGCAGCGCUAGUAAUCCUUCCCCCACCACCA